GCUCAGUUGGUUGAGCAUACAACUCUUGAUUUCAGCUCAGGUAAUGAUCUCACAGUUCGUGGGUUCAAGUCCCACAUUGAGCU
rnacentral:tRNA from 1 species